GUAAUUUGGUAAUCGCCUCUCUGGUGAACGCUAAGAAUAGCUUGUGAAUAUGCAUUUAUUUCUGUGAUAGCCAUCCACAGUGGUGAAGUGCUGGGAAAGAGCUGUCUGGUUUUCAUGCUGAAAUUGCCAGUACCUCUUCCUCCCACCCCACCCUGAGAAGUGUCUGGGAGGUGCUGGACAAUUUCCAGGAUCCUGAUGUGUCCAGACCUGACUCUCCCUCAACCCGACAGAUGUUUUUGCAGCCAUUUGAUGGCAGAACAUGGGCUGAAGGUGGCAAAACUGCAUCAUGUGCCUGACUUUAAUACCUGGCUCUUCAGCUGCUGAAAAAAAACCCGUUCUUUUCUCUUUCAAUGCUUUGUGUUGUUCUGGAGAAGAAAUUCUUUCUUAAUGAUGUCCUAGACUGAUAUAUGUUCUGUAUUCAUGGUAACAGCUUCUCCAACUAUCCAUCUUCCAAAUUAGAUUAAAUCUAUUUGUACAUUUAUGGUAUUUCUUCAUGCUUUAUUCAAACACAAGUAAUCAAAUAAAGAACAAUUCAUGCUGUUAUGCUUCAGAAGUCCUUGCCAGUACUUAGAUUUUUAUGGGAAGACAGAGUUUUGCAGUUGAU